GAAUGUGAGGGCAAUCUGGCUGAUCUGGCUGUUAUAUCUGUCACCCCAUUGAUUGCCAAGGUUGAUUUGGCUGAUCUAGCUGGCUAGGUGGGUGUCCCCUUCCUCCCUUACCAUUCCAUGUGUGUCUCCCCAAAAACUAAGUGCUCGAUCGAAGAGGACUACCUUUCCCGAAUGGAGAUGGACUGGUCUUCAGUCGAGGGUAUGUGAGUAGCUGCACUCCCCUGCUAGGACCUCCAAACAAGCACAACAAUAGAUACAAAAUAAAAGCAUAAACUCAUAAAUCAUGCUCUUUGUUUAUAU
rnacentral:snRNA from 1 species